GCCUCUAUGGCGUAGUGGUAGCGCGUCGCACUUGUAAGCAUUUACAAGAUCAUGCGAAGGUCUCUCGUUCGAUCCGGGAUGGAGGCA